CAUCAAUAUUAUUGACAUACGCUGGAACAGCUUGAUGCAAUCCUGAUAAUAAACUACUGCAACAGUUACUGGAUUGUAGAGGGCGUCGGGUGAGCUAACAAAAAGAUGGAAGCUUGCACGUGCGUGGAUUUCCUUACCGGCCAAGGUGAAGGAUUCAAGCAAUUAUAAAACCACCUAGCUUGUGAUUCGACUCAUCUUCUUCAUACCACCGCUACCAAGGGACUUCCGAGAUAAGAAUGCCUGGGAAUUUUUUGCAACACUGAAUUCCUAGCGAGUUUCAACUUAGCGGAUAGAUGGCUAUUAGUUUUGCUGUCAUGGACAUUUGUUUCAGGUGUAAACAUGUUUUUUUCUGUGUAAAUCGAGAAUCUGAAGAGUUAAUUUCGAUAAAGAAGAUAUUAAAUUGAUAUUUAACACAUUUUUCCGCAUUAAUUUUGAGCUAGAAGCCUUGAAAUAAUGUAUGAUUUAAAUUUUAGCUUCGUGAUGAGUGACUACGACAAAAUGGCAGAGGGAAUCAAAAUGGUGGAGUCA
rnacentral:lncRNA from 1 species